rnacentral:ncRNA from 2 species
UACGGAGGGUGCAAGCGUUGUCCGGAUUUAUUGGGUUUAAAGGGUGCGUAGGCGGCCCCUUAAGUCAGUGGUGAAAGCCCGCGGCUCAACCGCGGAACUGCCAUUGAUACUGGGGGGCUUGAGUACAGACGAGGUAGGCGGAAUUGAAGAUGUAGCGGUGAAAUGCUUAGAUAUCUUCAAGAACCCCGAUUGCGUAGGCAGCUUACUAGGCUGUAACUGACGCUGAGGCACGAAAGCGUGGGGAGCGAACAGG